rnacentral:rRNA from 1 species
UACGUAGGGUGCAAGCGUUGUCCGGAAUUAUUGGGCGUAAAGAGCUCGUAGGCGGUCUGUUGCGUCGGCUGUGAAAACCCGGGGCUCAACCCCGGGCCUGCAGCCGAUACGGGCAGACUAGAGUUCGGCAGGGGAGACUGGAAUUCCUGGUGUAGCGGUGAAGUGCGCAGAUAUCAGGAGGAACACCGGUGGCGAAGGCGGCUCACUGGUCCGAUACUGACGCUGAGGUGCGAAAGCGUGGGGAGCAAACAGG